UUAAGGACUGGGGUCGUGUCGCCAUUUGUUCAGUCGGAGGCGGCCGAAAAGCCGCUCUGUCCCGCACUCGGAGCUGGAAUGCACACAGUGUCAUUAAUAUCCGAGAUCCUGCAGAGGGCAGAAUUUUACCGCACGUAAAUCUGAAAGUGCAUCGAAGCGGUGCAUGGCUGCAACCCGCGCGUGACUGCCUUCUCUCUCCGAUUCAAAGAAAAAGAACAAAACUCUAUGCCAAGGAAGACAUCAUUCACCCUACUCGCUCUGAUUGAGAGAAACAUCGGCUUCGGCUCAAUGAUCUACUGAUAGGUGGGAGUUCACGGUGCCGUCAGACCGAGAGGAAGAUGAGGGAGUGACGAAGAGUGGAGACGGGACACGGCGAGGAGCGCCGCCGUCCCCUGGGAGGAAAUUAAGAAAGCAUCACCUGUUCACCUGAAAAGAAUCACC